AUGUCCGCAUGUCCAUCUCUUACCCUCUCCUGCGACAACCUCUCCUGCAACAUCUGGUUCUGCUGCGGCAGUGCCAAAGAUCCUGAACCUUAUCCGCCGAAGCAGUCACAUGUCGUGACGGCGCCGCCGCCUGCUGUGCCAACGCCUUAUUAUGAGCCGCCGUCAGAACUGGUGCCUUCUCAUCAGGUGUCGCCGGCACGGGCGCCGCCGCCGGCCAUGCAACCGCCUUAUUAUCAGCUGCCGUCAGAAUUGGUGCCUCCUCAUCACGUGUCGCCAGCGCCGGCGCCCCAGGCACCGUCAACGGUGACGACUCAUGUGCCGGUGCCACCCUGCAACAGGGCGCGUGAGCCGCCGGCGCCUGCGGCGACACUAAUUCCUGCCGCCGUGCCAUCCAAGAGAUACGAGCCGCCUCAGCCGGCGCCUCGCCCGCCGGUGCCGCCCAACGAGACGCCUGUGCAACGGGUAAUGCCAUUGCCUGCCCGCCUGCCAUCCAAGAAAUACGAGCCGCCACCGCCUGUUACUGUCACGUCUCAACCGUCUUCACGGACAACAUGGCCUCCCCGUGUAAAGUCCAAGACGUACGUCGACGCCGGCGUGCCACCGGCCGUGUCGCUGCCGCCUCCGUCGACACCAAUAGCUCCUCGUGCUCAUGGGUCACGAUACCCGCCGGUGCCUCACCCUCAUCCCGGCGAUACGGAGCCCCGCAUCGAAUCUUAUUCGCAAGCGGCAAGCCUCCAUCAAGAAUACUAUUAG
rnacentral:rRNA from 1 species